rnacentral:rRNA from 1 species
UACGUAGGCAGCAAGCGUUGUUCGGAUUUACUGGGCGUAAAGGGUGCGUAGGCGGUUGUUUAAGUUUGGUGUGAAAUCUCCCGGCUCAACUGGGAGGGUGCGCCGAAUACUGAAUGACUAGAGUGCGGGAGAGGAGAGUGGAAUUCCUGGUGUAGCGGUGAAAUGCGUAGAUAUCAGGAGGAACACCAGUGGUGUAGACGGCUCUCUGGACCGUAACUGACGCUGAGGCACGAAAGCGUGGGUAGCAAACAGG